UACGGGGGGGGCAAGCGUUGUUCGGAAUUACUGGGCGUAAAGGGCUCGUAGGUGGUCAACUAAGUCGGACGUGAAAUCCCUCAGCUUAACUGGGGAACUGCGUCUGAUACUGGAUGGCUCGAGUGUGGGAGAGGAAUGCGGAAUUCCAGGUGUAGCGGUGAAAUGCGUAGAUAUCUGGAGGAACACCGGUGGCGAAGGCGGCAUUCUGGACCAUAACUGACACUGAGAGACGAAAGCCAGGGGAGCAAACGGG
rnacentral:rRNA from 1 species